rnacentral:rRNA from 1 species
CUGGACCUCGGAUCAGGCCAGGCUACCCGCUGAAUUUAAGCAUAUCAAUAAGCGGAGGAAAAGAAACUAACUAGUAUUCCCCUAGUAACGGCGAGCGAAGCGGGAACAGCUCAAAUUUGAAAUCUCCGGUGCCUGCACCGGCGAAUUGUAGUCUAUAGGGCCAGUUUCGCCAGACGCGGUGUCCCCAAAGUCGUCCUGGAAAGGCGGGCCAGAGAGGGUGAGAGCCCCGUGUGCGGGGGCACUGCGGAAGGUAAGAUCUGUGCCCAAAGAGUCGGGUUGUUUGGGAUUGCAGCCCAAAAUGGGUGGUAAACUCCAUCUAAAGCUAAAUACUGGCACGAGACCGAUAGCGAACAAGUACCGUGAGGGA